UGCGAAUGAUGAAGUUUCAUUUAUUUGCUCGAGAAUUAACCAUGUGGGCAAAAAUUGAGCUUUUUAACUCUGACGCCA
rfam:Strongyloides papillosus strain LIN genome assembly, scaffold: SPAL_scaffold0000015